rnacentral:rRNA from 1 species
AGCAGCCGCCGCGGUAAUACGAAGGGGGCUAGCGUUGUUCGGAAUUACUGGGCGUAAAGCGCACGUAGGCGGAUAUUUAAGUCAGGGGUGAAAUCCCGCAGCUCAACUGCGGAACUGCCUUUGAUACUGGGUAUCUUGAGUAUGGAAGAGGUAAGUGGAAUUGCGAGUGUAGAGGUGAAAUUCGUAGAUAUUCGCAGGAACACCAGUGGCGAAGGCGGCUUACUGGUCCAUUACUGACGCUGAGGUGCGAAAGCGUGGGGAGCAAACAGGAUUAGAUACCCCUGUAGUCCCUGUCUCUUAUAA